GCGAACGUAGCUCAGUUGGCAGAGCAAUGGAUUGUGAUUCCAUGGGUCGUGGGUUCGAGCCCCAUCGUUCGCC
rnacentral:tRNA from 1 species